rnacentral:ncRNA from 1 species
GACCCGAAAGAUGAUGAAAUAUGCCUGGGCAAGGUGAAGCCAGAGGAAACUGUGGAGGUCCAUAGUGGUCCUGAUGUGCAAAUCGGUCAUCCAACUUGAGUAUAGGGACUAAAGACUAAUCGAAUCAUUUAGUAGCUGG